AUGCAUAUCCAAUUGAUAUACUACAGAUACUUAACUACCGUAUGUAGACAAUUCAUAGUUAUAGUCCAUGAUUAAUUACAACUUGAUUCUUAACUACGUUAAGGGAGAAAUUUACAUCACUAGUCUAAAAUAAACUGGCAAGGGGACAGGAUCAUUUUAUUCAAAAGAGAAUGCUAAUGCUGCAACACAGAAAUAGCUUCGUUCAUCUCCAAGUUUGUUUACACAUUGGGGUUUGAAGUAUAUACCUGGAAAAGAAGGAGAAAAACAAAACCAGCAGCAACAAACAACAAGUAACAGUAGUUUCAGGCUAACUCCAAACCAAGAAAAUGGUAUCCAGCAACCCAGGAAAUAAUUUUAGGCAAGUAACACCAAUGAACACACGAAAAACAGCUUGAAUGAAUCAAACUCCCCUUCGAAAAUAACCUCAGACACCUUUUAAACCCAAUUAUAGAAACAUAAGAAACCUAAGUCAUUUCUUUAAACACAGGCCAAACAAUGAUUUAAUUUUGAACUUGAAAAGCCCAAAAUGCCUCUGAAUCUCUACUUCUACAGAAAUUAUUUUUGAAUUUUCAGUAGUUUUUCCUUAGUGGGUUUUUAUCUGAAUUUUGAAAUUUUCAAACUCUUCAAAGGUAUAGGAUUUGAAUUUUCCUUUUUUUGAAUUUCAAAAUUGUUGGAUCUCUAAACUUCCUGGAAACUUAUGGGAUUUUUUCAUAUUUUUCCAAAAAUUCCCCUAAACAAGGCAAUAGGCAUGCCUUUUAUAGGCAAACUUAGAGCAACCUUCAGAUUCAAUUUUACACCCUAAGCCCCCCUUUUAUCUUUAGAUUUUAGCUAUUUAGUCCCUUAAUUAUUGACUUAUUCGCCAAGUAACACUACCAACUUUCUGAAUUUCAAAUUAGGACCCCAUCUAGAAGAUUCUAGUGGUUUCCAAUUUCAAUUACUGCACUAUUCUCUAUUUUGAAAUACCUAUACUGCCCUUGAAUUAAUCCUAC
rnacentral:lncRNA from 1 species